CCCUUAGAUGUUCUGGGCCGCACGCGCGCUACACUGAGCAAUUCAACGAGUUGUUUCUUAUUUUUGGAACGUUCCUUGGUCGGAAGGCCUGGGUAAUCUUUGAAAUGUUGCUCGUGAUGGGGCUAGAUUUUUGCAAUUAUUAAUCUCCAACGAGGAAUUCCUAGUACACGCAAGUCAUCAGCUUGCAUGGAUUACGUCCCUGCCCUUUGUACACACCGCCCGUCGCACCUACCGAUUGAAUGGUCCGGUGAAAUCUUCGGAUUCCGCGUUAGUGUGUUUAUUCAUGUUUUUGCGGGAGAAGUUGAGUAAACCUUAUCAUUUAGAGGAAGGUGAAGUCGUAACA
rnacentral:rRNA from 1 species